rnacentral:rRNA from 1 species
AACAAACGCUGGCGGCGUGCCUAAUACAUGCAAGUCGAACGGGGAAAGCUUUCGGGUGAGUACUAGUGGCGCACGGGUGAGUAACGCGUGGAUAAUCUGCCUUAGAGUGGGGGAUAACUAGUCGAAAGAUUAGCUAAACCGCCUAAAGACAACAAGAAUUGGGGUUCAAGGGGUAAAGGGUUUUCCGCUCUAAAUUGAGUCCGCGUAAGAUUAGCUAGUUGGUAGGGUAACGGCCUACCAAGGCGACGAUCUUUAACUGGUCUGAGAGGAUGAUCAGUCACACUGGAACUGAGACACGGUCCAGACUCCUACGGGAGGCAGCAGUAGGGAAUAUUGCACAAUGGAGGAAACUCUGAUGCAGCGACGCCGCGUGAGUGAUGAAGGCCUUCGGGUCGUAAAGCUCUGUCGCAGGGGAAUAACACAAUGAAGGUACCCUGUAAGAAAGGAUCGGCUAACUUCGUGCCAGCCGCCGCCGUAAUAC